CAUUAACUUUUCUCGAUCAAAAUUCACUUCAUUAUUGCAUUUAAUACAACUCAAGAUGUCACGAAUUAUUUUUCGGCAAAUAAAAAAAUCUACCAAUUUUUCAUAGUUGCUAUUUUAUGUAUAUCUCAGAAUUCAUAUAACUUCAUGGCAAGGUGAUUGGUGAGAAAUAAAAUGAGUUUGGUCUUGAUACAAUAUCGAAUUUUGUUUGAAACCAAUGUGGAAAAUGGACUGGAAGAGAAAUACCUGUGUUUAUGUUGCCAUGGUCAAAUUAAAUGGUAUAGCCCAAACCUAACCCAAACAUGGUCUGCAAAAUACAAUUGUUGAACGCGACUUUACUUCUUCGAAACGAUGAAACACUUUGGAGUCCAGUUUUUAUUUCUACGGAAAUAUUUCCCGGAUCCAAGUACCUCUGCACUUCCUCUUCGUACGUGUGUAACUCAGCAAUGAGAAUUGGUAUACUUGGAUAAUGAACAUUUGCAACUGACGUAGAGCGUCUAACAUCCCACUCCUGACACUAUAUUAUUACGUAUGGAUAGAAUAGAAUUAAUGUAGAC
rnacentral:misc_RNA from 1 species